GUCGAACGGUAACAUAAAGAAGCUUGCUUCUUUGAUGACGAGUGCCGUACGGGUGAGUAAUGCUUGGGAAUCUGGCUUAUGGAGGGGGAUAACUACGGGAAACUGUAGCUAAUACCGCGUAGAAUCGGGAGAUGAAAGUGUGGGACCUUCGGGCCACAUGCCAUAGGAUGAGCCCAAGUGGGAUUAGGUAGUUGGUGAGGUAAAGGCUCACCAAGCCGACGAUCUCUAGCUGGUCUGAGAGGAUGACCAGCCACACUGGGACUGAGACACGGCCCAGACUCCUACGGGAGGCAGCAGUGGGGAAUAUUGCGCAAUGGGGGCAACCCUGACGCAGCCAUGCCGCGUGAAUGAAGAAGGCCUUCGGGUUGUAAAGUUCUUUCGGUAGCGAGGAAGGCAUUUAGUUUAAUAGACUAGGUGAUUGACGUUAACUACAGAAGAAGCACCGGCUAACUCCGUGCCAGCAGCCGCGGUAAUACGGAGGGUGCGAGCGUUAAUCGGAAUAACUGGGCGUAAAGGGCACGCAGGCGGUGACUUAAGUGAGGUGUGAAAGCCCCGGGCUUAACCUGGGAAUUGCAUUUCAUACUGGGUCGCUAGAGUACUUUAGGGAGGGGUAGAAUUCCACGUGUAGCGGUGAAAUGCGUAGAGAUGUGGAGGAAUACCGAAGGCGAAGGCAGCCCCUUGGGAAUGUACUGACGCUCAUGUGCGAAAGCGUGGGGAGCAAACAGGAUUAGAUACCCCGGUAGUCCACGCUGUAAACGAUGUCG
rnacentral:rRNA from 1 species